UACGAAGGGGGCUAGCGUUGUUCGGAAUUACUGGGCGUAAAGGGCGCGUAGGCGGUGCCUCAAGUCAGGCGUGAAAGCCCCGGGCUCAACCUGGGAACCGCGCUUGAGACUGGAGUACUAGAGUUCGGGAGAGGAUGGUGGAAUUCCCAGUGUAGAGGUGAAAUUCGUAGAUAUUGGGAAGAACACCGAUGGCGAAGGCAGCCAGUC
rnacentral:rRNA from 1 species